rnacentral:tRNA from 1 species
GCGGUUGUGCUGGAAUUGGCAGACAGGCAUGGUUGAGGGCCAUGUGUCGCAAGACGUGAGGGUUCAAGUCCCUCCAACCGCACCA